AGAGUUUGAUCCUGGCUCAGGACGAACGCUGGCGGCGCGCCUAACACAUGCAAGUCGAACGAGAGAUGAGGAGCUUGCUCUUCAAAUCGAGUGGCGAACGGGUGAGUAACGCGUGAGGAACCUGCCUCAAAGAGGGGGACAACAGUUGGAAACGACUGCUAAUACCGCAUAAGCCCACGGCUCGGCAUCGAGCAGGGGGAAAAGGAGCAAUCCGCUUUGAGAUGGCCUCGCGUCCGAUUAGCUAGUUGGUGAGGUAAUGGCCCACCAAGGCGACGAUCGGUAGCCGGACUGAGAGGUUGAACGGCCACAUUGGGACUGAGACACGGCCCAGACUCCUACGGGAGGCAGCAGUGGGGAAUAUUGCACAAUGGGGGAAACCCUGAUGCAGCGACGCCGCGUGGAGGAAGAAGGUCUUCGGAUUGUAAACUCCUGUUGUUGAGGAAGAUAAUGACGGUACUCAACAAGGAAGUGACGGCUAACUACGUGCCAGCAGCCGCGGUAAAACGUAGGUCACAAGCGUUGUCCGGAAUUACUGGGUGUAAAGGGAGCGCAGGCGGGAGAACAAGUUGGAAGUGAAAUCCAUGGGCUCAACCCAUGAACUGCUUUCAAAACUGUUUUUCUUGAGUAGUGCAGAGGUAGGCGGAAUUCCCGGUGUAGCGGUGGAAUGCGUAGAUAUCGGGAGGAACACCAGUGGCGAAGGCGGCCUACUGGGCACCAACUGACGCUGAGGCUCGAAAGUGUGGGUAGCAAACAGGAUUAGAUACCCUGGUAGUCCACACCGUAAACGAUGAUUACUAGGUGUUGGAGGAUUGACCCCUUCAGUGCCGCAGUUAACACAAUAAGUAAUCCACCUGGGGAGUACGACCGCAAGGUUGAAACUCAAAGGAAUUGACGGGGGCCCGCACAAGCAGUGGAGUAUGUGGUUUAAUUCGACGCAACGCGAAGAACCUUACCAAGUCUUGACAUCCCUUGACGAUGCUGGAAACAGUAUUUCUCUUCGGAGCAAGGAGACAGGUGGUGCAUGGUUGUCGUCAGCUCGUGUCGUGAGAUGUUGGGUUAAGUCCCGCAACGAGCGCAACCCUUAUGGUCAGUUACUACGCAAGAGGACUCUGGCCAGACUGCCGUUGACAAAACGGAGGAAGGUGGGGAUGACGUCAAAUCAUCAUGCCCUUUAUGACUUGGGCUACACACGUACUACAAUGGCG
rnacentral:rRNA from 1 species